ACCUAGCGGCGGACGGGUGAGUAAUGCUUAGGAAUCUGCCUAUUAGUGGGGGACAACAUUCCGAAAGGAAUGCUAAUACCGCAUACGCCCUACGGGGGAAAGCAGGGGAUCUUCGGACCUUGCGCUAUCGGAUGAGCCUAUGUCGGAUUAGCUAGUUGGUGAGGUAACGGCUCACCAAGGCUGCGAUCCGUAGCUGGUCUGAGAGGAUGAUCAGCCACAUCGGGACUGAGACACGGCCCGAACUCCUACGGGAGGCAGCAGUGGGGAAUAUUGGACAAUGGGCGAAAGCCUGAUCCAGCCAUGCCGCGUGUGUGAAGAAGGCCUUCGGGUUGUAAAGCACUUUCAGUGAGGAAGAAAGCCUUGAGGUUAAUACCCUCGAGGGAGGACAUCACUCACAGAAGAAGCACCGGCUAACUCCGUGCCAGCAGCCGCGGUAAUACGGAGGGUGCGAGCGUUAAUCGGAAUUACUGGGCGUAAAGCGCGCGUAGGCGGCUUGAUAAGCCGGUUGUGAAAGCCCCGGGCUCAACCUGGGAACGGCAUCCGGAACUGUCAGGCUAGAGUGCAGGAGAGGAAGGUAGAAUUCCCGGUGUAGCGGUGAAAUGCGUAGAGAUCGGGAGGAAUACCAGUGGCGAAGGCGGCCUUCUGGACUGACACUGACGCUGAGGUGCGAAAGCGUGGGUAGCAAACAGGAUUAGAUACCCUGGUAGUCCACGCCGUAAACGAUGUCGACUAGCCGUUGGGCUCCUUGAGAGCUUUGUGGCGCAGUUAACGCGAUAAGUCGACCGCCUGGGGAGUACGGCCGCAAGGUUAAAACUCAAAUGAAUUGACGGGGGCCCGCACAAGCGGUGGAGCAUGUGGUUUAAUUCGAUGAUACGCGAGGAACCUUACCAGGGCUUAAAUGUAAGUUGCAUUAGUUAGAGAUAGCUAUUUCUUCGGACCACUUACAAGGUGCUGCAUGGUUGUCGUCAGCUCGUGCCGUGAGGUGUCAGGUUAAGUCCUAUAACGAGCGCAACCCCUGUUGUUAGUUGCCAGCGAGUCAUGUCGGGAACUCUAACAAGACUGCCAGUGCAAACUGUGAGGAAGGUGGGGAUGACGUCAAAUCAUCACGGCCCUUACGUCCUGGGCUACACACGUGCUACAAUGGAACGCACAGAGGGCAGCAAACCCGCGAGGGGGAGCGAAUCCCACAAAACGUUUCGUAGUCCGGAUCGGAGUCUGCAACUCGACUCCGUGAAGUCGGAAUCGCUAGUAAUCGUGAAUCAGAAUGUCACGGUGAAUACGUUCCCGGGCCUUGUACACACCGCCCGUCACACCAUGGGAGUGGACUGCACCAGAAGUGGUUAGCCUAACUUCGGAGGGCGAUCACCACGGUGUGGUUCAUGACUGGGGUGAAGUCGGAACAAGGUAGCCGUACUGGAAGGUGCGGCUGGAUCACCUCCUU
rnacentral:rRNA from 1 species